ensembl:scaRNA
UGGGAGACAGAUACACAAAUUGGGCGAAAAUACUGCUCUAAUUGUCACUGUAUCUCCCAAGAAUAAAUUGCCUUUUGAUGACCAGGACGAGUUGAGUGAAAUCGUCAUGGACAGAUACGGGGCAGACAAUU